UGGAAGAAUGAUACGCGGGAUACAAAUAGCUAAGUUCCUCGUCAUAGUUUCUUCCUAUAAUAAGAUUGCCUUCUGAUGACUGUAACUUGUGAAGUUUUAAUUUACAGACAGAUGCGGGGCAUACAAAA
rnacentral:snoRNA from 1 species